rnacentral:ncRNA from 2 species
AACGUGCUCCGGGGUCGGUGUGAAUCCGAACCGGCGGUGACUGUCCGCGAGCCCCUCUCACGAGGGGUUGAUCCGGUGGAAUUCCGGGACCGACGGUGAUGCGUGACGGUUCGACAGAACCCGAUCGCUAGUCCGGAUGGGAGGCAGCACGGA